UUAUUAUUAUACCUUCAUCCAAGGAAAUCAUUUUAUACUCUUAAUCUUAAAGAUAACCAUGUUAUUCUUGGCCCAUGAUCUCCUAAGAAUCUGGGCUUUUUAUACUUAAAGCCAAUAACUUUCUUUACAUUUCUGAAUUCCUUAGUUUCAUCUCUUCUCUGGGGGAAGAGGGGUUGCAUAGCAGUUAAACCCUCAAACCAUUGCAGGUGAUUAGCAAAGAAUUUCACUGAGUAUGUAGAAAAACGGAAG
rnacentral:lncRNA from 1 species